AUUGAACGCUGGCGGCAGGCCUAACACAUGCAAGUCGAGCGGAUGACGGGAGCUUGCUCCUUGAUUCAGCGGCGGACGGGUGAGUAAUGCCUAGGAAUCUGCCUGGUAGUGGGGGACAACGUUUCGAAAGGAACGCUAAUACCGCAUACGUCCUACGGGAGAAAGCAGGGGACCUUCGGGCCUUGCGCUAUCAGAUGAGCCUAGGUCGGAUUAGCUAGUUGGUGAGGUAAUGGCUCACCAAGGCGACGAUCCGUAACUGGUCUGAGAGGAUGAUCAGUCACACUGGAACUGAGACACGGUCCAGACUCCUACGGGAGGCAGCAGUGGGGAAUAUUGGACAAUGGGCGAAAGCCUGAUCCAGCCAUGCCGCGUGUGUGAAGAAGGUCUUCGGAUUGUAAAGCACUUUAAGUUGGGAGGAAGGGCAGUAAGCUAAUACCUUGCUGUUUUGACGUUACCGACAGAAUAAGCACCGGCUAACACUGUGCCAGCCGCCGCCGUAA
rnacentral:rRNA from 1 species